rnacentral:rRNA from 1 species
AACGAACGCUGGCGGCAUGCCUAACACAUGCAAGUCGAACGAGACCUUCGGGUCUAGUGGCGCACGGGUGCGUAACGCGUGGGAACCUGCCCUUAGGUUCGGAAUAACUCCCCGAAAGGGGUGCUAAUACCGGUUAAUGUCUUCGGACCAAAGAUUUAUUGCCUUUGGAUGGGCCCGCGUUGGAUUAGCUAGUUGGUAGGGUAAAAGCCUACCAAGGCGACGAUCCAUAGCUGGUCUGAGAGGAUGAUCAGCCACACUGGGACUGAGACACGGACCAGACUCCUACGGGGGGCAGCAGUGGGGAAUAUUGGACGAUGGGCGAAAGCCUGAUCCAGCAAUGCCGCGUGAGUGAUGAAGGCCUUAGGGUUGUAAAGCUCUUUUACCCGGGAUGAUAAUGACAGUAACGGGAGAAUAAGCUCCGGCUAACUCCGUG